UACGAAGGGGGCUAGCGUUGCUCGGAAUUACUGGGCGUAAAGCGCACGUAGGCGGCUCUUUAAGUCGGGGGUGAAAUCCUGGAGCUCAACUCCAGAACUGCCUUCGAUACUGAAGAGCUUGAGUCCGGGAGAGGUGAGUGGAACUGCGAGUGUAGAGGUGAAAUUCGUAGAUAUUCGCAAGAACACCAGUGGCGAAGGCGGCUUGCCAGAACGCGCUCGACGGUGAGGGAUGAAAGCUGGGGGAGCAAACCGG
rnacentral:rRNA from 1 species